rnacentral:lncRNA from 1 species
GAAAACCAAAUAGUUAUAUUUUAACAAAAUAAAAUUAUCAUUCAUAACAUGAAAUCAACAUUACAUAUGCGAUUUCAACAUAAAAUGAAACAUUACAUUUCAAUAUCCAGGUGGACGCUUCAACAUUUUCACAAUAUCUUCGAUCGAUCUUGAAAUCGUCGCUUCCAACUCGAGCAUAACUUUUGUUUCGAAACGAAAAAAUAUAUUCC